rnacentral:rRNA from 1 species
GCUAUCUACAGGCUUAACACAUGCAAGUCGAGGGGCAUCAGGAAGAAAGCUUGCUUUCUUUGCUGGCGACCGGCGCACGGGUGAGUAACACGUAUCCAACCUGCCCUUUACUCGGGGAUAGCCUUUCGAAAGAAAGAUUAAUACCCGAUAGCAUAAUGAUUCCGCAUGGUUUCAUUAUUAAAGGAUUCCGGUAAAGGAUGGGGAUGCGUUCCAUUAGGUUGUUGGUGAGGUAACGGCCCACCAAGCCUUCGAUGGAUAGGGGUUCUGAGAGGAAGGUCCCCCACAUUGGAACUGAGACACGGUCCAAACUCCUACGGGAGGCAGCAGUGAGGAAUAUUGGUCAAUGGGCGCUAGCCUGAACCAGCCAAGUAGCGUGAAGGAUGAAGGCUCUAUGGGUCGUAAACUUCUUUUAUAUAAGAAUAAAGUGCAGUAUGUAUACUGUUUUGUAUGUAUUAUAUGAAUAAGGAUCGGCUAACUCCGUGCCAGCAGCCGCGGUAAUACGGAGGAUCCGAGCGUUAUCCGGAUUUAUUGGGUUUAAAGGGAGCGUAGGUGGACUGGUAAGUCAGUUGUGAAAGUUUGCGGCUCAACCGUAAAAUUGCAGUUGAUACUGUCAGUCUUGAGUACAGUAGAGGUGGGCGGAAUUCGUGGUGUAGCGGUGAAAUGCUUAGAUAUCACGAAGAACUCCGAUUGCGAAGGCAGCUCACUGGACUGCAACUGACACUGAUGCUCGAAAGUGUGGGUAUCAAACAGGAUUAGAUACCCUGGUAGUCCACACAGUAAACGAUGAAUACUCGCUGUUUGCGAUAUACAGUAAGCGGCCAAGCGAAAGCAUUAAGUAUUCCACCUGGGGAGUACGCCGGCAACGGUGAAACUCAAAGGAAUUGACGGGGGCCCGCACAAGCGGAGGAACAUGUGGUUUAAUUCGAUGAUACGCGAGGAACCUUACCCGGGCUUAAAUUGCAGUGGAAUGAUGUGGAAACAUGUCAGUGAGCAAUCACCGCUGUGAAGGUGCUGCAUGGUUGUCGUCAGCUCGUGCCGUGAGGUGUCGGCUUAAGUGCCAUAACGAGCGCAACCCUUAUCUUUAGUUACUAACAGGUUAUGCUGAGGACUCUAGAGAGACUGCCGUCGUAAGAUGUGAGGAAGGUGGGGAUGACGUCAAAUCAGCACGGCCCUUACGUCCGGGGCUACACACGUGUUACAAUGGGGGGUACAGAAGGCAGCUAGCGGGUGACCGUAUGCUAAUCCCAAAAUCCCCUCUCAGUUCGGAUCGAAGUCUGCAACCCGACUUCGUGAAGCUGGAUUCGCUAGUAAUCGCGCAUCAGCCACGGCGCGGUGAAUACGUUCCCGGGCCUUGUACACACCGCCCGUCAAGCCAUGGGAGCCGGGGGUACCUGAAGUACGUAACCGCAAGGAUCGUCCUAGGGUAAAACUGGUGACUGG